AAAAAAGAUAUACAUCUCAACGCCGCUUGGGAUCAACCCCAACAGACUUGGGAGUCUCAGCGCGGGGCUGCUCGUGUGCAAAAGCGUCUCUACGAAUAGGAUCAGGCGUAUAUCGAAGACCGCUAUCAAACUCUUGAACAUGCGCAAUUUUCCUGAAGAAAGACUUCUUCAAGAAUCUAUCAGCCUCAUUCACCACUAUCUCAGGCUCCUCCACCUCUGGUAUCGUUUCCCUUGUCUUCUUCUUCACGCGUACUGUCGGGGAGUGCAUUAUCUGUUGCUUCGCGGUGUACAGACCCAGAGAUACCGAUAGAGCUAUCAUUCCUAUCACCACAUAAACGGGCACAAACUCUCCCUUUAUUGUCUUUUUAGUACGUUUUUCUCGCUGAGGAUUGCCGAAAUCAGCUGUUGGAGCAUACGCCAUCAUUUUUGGAGAGCUUGAAGUUGCAUACGUUGCAGUUCCACUCAACCGACUCACCAUUGAUUUCCAACAACUCAUUGAUCUCAAAGCCAUGAUUGGAUGUCAGAAGCGUAGAUGAAAUUGCGUUGAAGGACUUUGAUUACCAGGGUUAGGAUUAAAACAGAUUACUUGCUUCUCUUUUUUUUUUUUUUGUUUUUUGUGUUGGC
rnacentral:misc_RNA from 1 species